UUUUUAUCCUACCAUUUCUGUAGGCUGAGAUUUCUUAAUCAGUAUUACAGACAACACAAUAGUAGUUAGGACCUGGAGUCCCAACUACUCAGGAGGCUGAGGUAGGAGGAUCCCUUGGCCCAGAAAUUCAAGGUUACAGUGAGCUAUGAUCAGAUCACUGCACUCCAGCCUGAGAGACCCUGCCUGUAAUGAAAAAGAUAAAAAGUUGAUUUGGAUAAUUUGUUGAUGAUCUGGAACUCUCAUGCAUUUUUGGCAGGACCAUAAAUUGGGACAACAUUGCAAAAACAGUAUUAAUCUGCUAAAAGUUUAAUCUCCUAAAAUCUUAGGGUUAUGCUUACCAGGAAUACAAACAUACAUAUCAAAACUACACUGGAAGUUCUUAACAGUAUUAUUUAUUCUAGCUAUAAAUUGAAAGCAACCCAAAUGGAAUUGGAAUGGAUGAAUAACAUGUGACAUAUUCAUGGAAGAAAAUACCACUCAGCAGUGAAAGUGACCACACUGUAGCUGUGUAUACAAUAUGGAUGCAUCUUUUUUAAUAUUUCCUGAAAGAUACCAGACACCAAAUAAUAUAGAGGCAUGAUUCAAUUAAUGUAUACUCAGAAACAAAAUUUUAAAAGUUAGAAUAUUGGUUGCCUUUGAGGAAAAGAAAAGGGAUAGUUCCACCUUGCUCCAGAAUACUCUGGUAGCAUACAUACUACCAUGGCUGUCUGAUGGGUAAUUCUGCCUUCUUCCCCAAGUCCCAUGUCCCAUUCUAGACCACAAGCAGGUUCCUCAGUCUUUCUACCUGAUUCACCAAUGAAAUGGAUGGUGGAACUAUGUUCCAACAAUGGUCAACAACUCCGAUUUUCCUAAAUAUUCCACAUAAAUGCAUAACUAUUUCAUAUUGUUGCCUCUGUCUAGCAUAGAAUUCCCUCUUCUCUCUCAGCAGAGAAAUUCAUGAUCCCAAUUCAAAAUACAGAUGGCACCACCAAAAGCCAGAGAAAGAGGCAAGAAGUUUUAGUCAGACCUGUCUUUGAUUCUUAGCUUGCCACAUGCAAUCUACAUGUACUUGGCCAUCGCUUAACAUUUUAGCCUGUUUCUCAUGUAUGCAAUGAGAAUAAUGAUAUCCAGCUUAUGGGCUGUUUAAAGGAAUACAUGAGGUGAUAAGGUGAAAAGGCACGGCUGCUGGCAUGAUAGGGGUUUCCUAGAAAGCAGUGAAGAGACCAUAGCCUAAUGAGAGCAGAGACUUGGGACCAGGAAGCAUAAAGCCAUGAAAUAAUGACUCUACUGUAUUAGAGAGUUGAGAUGCAUUUCUCCUCUCCUAUCCUUGGACAUCAGUCCUCCAGACGCCGGCCUUUGGACUCUAGGACAUAACACCAGCAGCCCCCAGAUUCUCAGACCUUCAGCUUCCAACUGAGAGUUACACCAUUGGCUUUCCUGAUUCUGAGCCCUUCAGACUUGGGCUGAACCACACUACCAGCAUCCCAGAGCCACCUGUUUGCUGAUGGCCUGCUGAGAGACUUCCCACCCUCCAUAAUCAUAGUCUCAAUCUGUUGCCAAGGCUCGAGUGUCGUGGCUACAUCUCAGCUUACUGCUGCAACCUCUGCCUCCUGGGUUCAAGUGAUUCUCCUGCCUCAGCCUCCUGAGUAACUGGAAUUACAGGUAAGGUUGGAGGAAAACAUGGGAAGUAGAAAGCAAAUGGUGUCAACAAGACAGAAAGAACAGAGGAAGCAGCAGCAUGGAUGGUGGAGAAAAGCCCUGUUCUCUCUAGGAGAAUUCUGGAGAAGCUCUGGGAUGAAUCCAUACAAAACAAAACAAUAACAAAAAAGCGGGUCAUGGAGAAAUCUGCAGUGUUUUAUGUAUAAAAGGUGCCAAAAAUUUCCAUGAACUGGAAAGUCUGUUCAAAAUUUAUACUGAAGACAUUAUCCAGUGACUGUA